CCUACGGGAGGCAGCAGUAGGGAAUCUUGCACAAUGGGCGAAAGCCUGAUGCAGCAACGCCGCGUGUGUGAAGAAGGUCUUCGGAUCGUAAAACCCUUUUGUUAGAGAAGAAAGUGCUGGAGAGUAACUGUUCACGUUUCGACGGUAUCUAACCAGAAAGCCCCGGCUAACUACGUGCCAGCAGCCGCGGUAAUACGUAGGUGGCAAGCGUUAUCCGGAUUUAUUGGGCGUAAAGGGAACGCAGGCGGUUUGUUAAGUCUGAUGUGAAAGCCUUCGGCUUAACCGGGGUAGUGCAUUGGAAACUGGCAGGCUUGAGUGCAGAAGAGGGGAGUGGAAUUCCAGGUGUAGCGGUGAAAUGCGUAGAUAUCUGGAAGAACACCAGUGGCGAAAGCGGCUCUCUGGUCUGUAACUGACGCUGAGGUUCGAAAGCGUGGGUAGCAAACAGGAUUAGAUACCCCUGUAGUC
rnacentral:rRNA from 1 species